rnacentral:rRNA from 1 species
GACGAACGCUGGCGGCGUGCUUAACACAUGCAAGUCGAACGGAAAGGCCCUGCUUUUGUGGGGUGCUCGAGUGGCGAACGGGUGAGUAACACGUGAGUAACCUGCCCUUGACUUUGGGAUAACUUCAGGAAACUGGGGCUAAUACCGGAUAGGAGCUCCUGCUGCAUGGUGGGGGUUGGAAAGUUUCGGCGGUUGGGGAUGGACUCGCGGCUUAUCAGCUUGUUGGUGGGGUAGUGGCUUACCAAGGCUUUGACGGGUAGCCGGCCUGAGAGGGUGACCGGCCACAUUGGGACUGAGAUACGGCCCAGACUCCUACGGGAGGCAGCAGUGGGGAAUAUUGCACAAUGGGCGGAAGCCUGAUGCAGAAACGCCGCGGGCGGGAUGACGGCCUUCGGGUUGUAAACCGCUGUCGCCUGUGACGAAGCGUGAGUGACGGUAAUGGGUAAAGAAGCACCGGCUAACUACGUG